UAAUACGAGUGGUGCAAGCGUUAUUCGGAAUCAUUGGGCGUAAAGGGUGUGUAGGCGGCAUAUUAAGUCAACUGUUAAAUUCUCCGGCCUAACCGGAGGCCAGCUGUAGAUACUGAUGUGCUCGAGUGUGGAAGAGAGAGGCGGAAUUCUCGGAGUAGCGGUAAAAUGCGUAGAUCUCGAGAGGAACACCAAUGGCGAAGGCAGCCUCUUGGUCCACUACUGACGCUGAAACACGAAAGCGUGGGGAGCAAACAGGAUUAGAUACCCUGGUAGUCCACGCUGUAAACGAUGAUCACUAGACGUUAGUUCUGUUUUUACGGAAUUAGUGUCGUAGCUAACGCGUUAAGUGAUCCGCCUGGGAAUUACGGUCGCAAGAUUA
rnacentral:rRNA from 1 species